AGAGCGAACAAGGAAAUAGGUGUGGCAUUUCCAGGGUAUAAGUAAGUUUCCACGUGAUAGCAGAGCCUAUACAGCAUUCAGUGUUUGCGAUAAGAAGAACGUUCCUCGUCUUAAAAGGAACGAUGUUGCUACGAGUAAUUCUUUUCGUCGUGAUCUUUUUCACAUGCUAUGCACAUCGACAAGAAAACAAUUAUGCAGCUGAACUAGAAAGUAUAAAGGAAAGGGCACCGGAAGAUGCAAGAGAAGAAUUGCCCAUGAAUCAUCUAGACGAUGAUUUAGUCGAAAGGAACAUGGUUGAAGAUAGUGACGGAGAGCUGGAGGAAGAAGAAGCAGACGAUGAUGAAAUAGAAGACGACAGGGAUCCCGUGAUUGGGAUUUUUUGGAAACAAGCUGCAAAGGUGGUUAAGAAAGCUGCCAAAACGAAGAAAAAGGAGAAGGGUGGUUCCAAAGAAACAACUGGUGGUGCUGAGCACACUAAAGGAAAACGGCCUAGCACAAAACAAAAACAUGAAAAAGGUCAAGCGACAAAAAAGAAGCAACAGGAGAAAGCAUCUCAAAAGAAGCAGAAAGGAGGGAAAGAUGGAAGCAAAAAGAGACCGGGGGGAGCAGCAAAAUCACGUCGCCGUAGUUUAACUCGCCGCAGGUCUUCCUACCGGCGGAGGUUUUCUACCCGUCGAAGAUACUCAAGACGCCGUAGAUAUUCACGCCGGCGUAGAUAUUCAGCAAGGCGCCGAUAUUCACGACGCCGGAGGAGCUAUUCUCGUCGCCGUCGCAGUUCCCGCCGUCGCAGUUCUCGCAGACGCAGUUCUCGCAGACGCAGUUCACGCAGACGCCGUUCUCGCAGACGCCGUUCUCGCAGAAGGGGUUAGACAGUCGAUAAAGAUGACGCUUCAAGUAGUUUGAUUUGGAAAUAUAAAAGAUAGAACUGAUUCACCAGAUUUCGUGUUCUUUGAUAUAUUAUACAAGUAGGAAGAUAAAAAGAAGUCAGAUAGUAACUAAUUGUAUAGCAUGACUCAUAAUAGUAUUGUCAGUAACAAGGGAAUCAGUGACAGUUAUUGAAACAAUAAAUGAAAAGCUUCCAAGAAAUGAUAUCUUCGCUCUUCAAAAUAAAAAAACCGAUACAGCAAUCCUUUUAUCGUGAACAAAUUUAGACAAAGCAACAAAAUUUAGCUACUGUGCAGAGAUCUAAUUCUUUUAAGUUUUGCUCCCUUUAUUAUAAUAAAACUGUGUAGGCAUUGCUCUGUAAUUGUUUUGGUUCUAAUGUUGGGAUGGCUCAAUGGUUGGGGUCAAAGACUAGUACAGAUCCAAGGGUGUGCGAAAUUUUUGCCAUAUGCCAUACUCCCUGUGUUGUCUCUUUUGAAUCAUGAUGUUUUUCCUUUCGCCACUGAAUGUCCUUUAGUAUUAAAAAUUGCGCUUGGAAUGAUAAAGGAUAACAUUUUCUAUACGUUUAUUUUAAAUUGCAAUCCAACAAAGGCUAUUUAAUAUUCCACUUCAACUAAGAACUCAUAGGCAUCCUGCAUAAAUGAAACGUAAAAACUAAGAGUUUGUACUUAAAGGAAUUUAGACUAACUCAAACCAAAUAUCUUGACCAGUGACAAACGGGGCCCUUUAUUCCUGGUCAAUGACUAACAGUACCCCCACCCCCCUUCUCCCUGUUUCGUACUUGGCAGAAGCAAACCAAAAGUCAAUCCUGGAGUUCUACAGUAAGAGCCUGAAAAAUCUGAACCAUUUUGAAAAAAACUUCUAUACUGAACCAUCUAUACUGAUUUUGUUGAAAUAUGGUGCCCUCGUAUACGAAACUGCUGUAAGUAUUGAUGGAAGAUUAAACCGGCAGUUUAAAAAAGCUCGUUUAAAUCUGCAACUAGCUAUAAAAUCAUUACACUCUUUUCUCAAACUUGAAGAAUUACAGAAAGAGCCCGUCAAUCUGCACAAUCACCAAUUUGCACAAAACAGAUGGCAGAAGGUUCUCUUGGAAUCCAUUUGUCAAAAUUAUUUUGUCAGAUAUUUUUCUAAGUAUAAUGCCUUACGCAUGCUAAUGUACUGGCAUCAUAUCUUUUGUAAAUGAUUUGUAGCGUAGAAGCAGGAGCAUUGCAGCCAUUAGGUUGACAGGAGCAAAUGCCUCUCUUUACUCUUUCAAAAAGUGCUGUAAACCAGGGUUGUCCUACGCGUGGCCGGCGGGCCACAUUGUGGCUCCUCAUGUUGUCUAAUGAAGCCCGCGCUUGGGUCAAAGUUGAUAAAGAACUGCAUUGUAUUUAUUCAGGUUGUAAGAGAGAAGUUAAUUCAUAUUAUUUACGAGAUCAAAUAAAAGCGCACCCACUUUCGUGCGCAUACACUUGGCGACUUCAAGUUCAACGCAAUGAACCAAACGCCCUAUUCUGUGCCCAAGCAGUGAACACGCUGCGCUUGUUUGAAAAGUUCAAGAUUGGUACAAGCCAUGUUUCUAAAAAGCCGUGAAGAGGGAGAGACGUGAACUUGGGAAACGCAAUUUAAAAUUAUCGUGGACAAUCAUAGCAAAAUGACUUUGUUAUGUGCUUAAUUUGUUUGAAAAAAUCGCAGUGCGGAAGGAAUACAAUAUUGCUAGGCAUAAUAACACUAAAAAUUCAUGUUAUUAUAAGCUGGAAGGCCAGUUACAUGUUCAUGAAUUAGAAGUUUCUUGUCAACAAUCUCUAAGGAAAUCAGGUUUUUGAGUUCGGAUUGCGACACAAAGGUCAGCAUGCCGUGGUCUACUUUUCUUUUUGGGAGCACAUACAAAUACAAACAAAAGUUGUUAAAAUUGAUGGCAGAAGCAGAUUAAGAUCCGGUUCGCACGGGAAGGAUUGCGUACUGUUACCAUGUCGUUCAAAAUGAUUGAACAAACGGGAAAUGAACUGUUCAAACAGGCACGAAACGAUCACGUACCAAUUGUUUCUUCUCUUCACGCGGGAAGACAAUCUCUCCGUUUUACUUUUUGUGCUAGAAUUUCAAAAGUUUACCAAUGCGCAUAUGAGUAUUCCCAUACGAACAAUGCAAGCAUAUAGCCAGAUCAGUGAUUAUUCUGUUUUUCGGAUCAUUUUACCUGUUCACACGGGAACGGAACGAUUUCACACUGUUACUCUUUUUGAAUCACCUAACGGCACGAUUUAAAGUGUUCCCAUGUGCGCGCAACUCCUAUGCGACCCAUUCUUUGGAAUGGGACGAUAUGAAACGGAACGGGGCCAAACGGACAAUGCAGCGGUAAACAUAUAAGUGGCCCCUCAGCUACUUCGUUAUUCUGAAAGUGGUCCUUCUGGAAAUAAGGUCGGACAACCCUGCUGUAAACAAUCAAAAUUUUGUAAAUUACCGUUUGAUGAGAAUAAGUCAUUUCGCAAAAUUUAUGAAGAUUGCUAGUUUAAUCGAAAAUAAUCUCGCCCCCUAAGCUGGAGAAGUUGAUUCCUCUGUAAAAUCUUGGACUGAAAAAUGGGCUUUCGGCGUUAGUCCAACUUUUAUAAUCUACAUAUCACUUAAGAGCAAUACACCAUUUGACAGUUUUACCAGCCGUGUCGACGUUUCAAAGUCAAUUUGAUUGAGAAUCUUCUUCUUUCCAAAAUAAAAUUUUAAAUAAAAACGACCUUGCAUUUCAACAUAGGGGCAUUUUCUGACGUUCUACAUGGCGUAAUUUAAAAAAUUUAUCCGGGAACAGUCUUACUCACCACCAAAUUUCUCCAUUCUGUCAUCCAUUGCAUGGGGUUUUAAGAAUGAAUUUUGACAUAGUUUACAGAAAACUGACUCUCUGCUACACAAUUUUUUCUGGGCCCGUUUUACAAACCCCGAAUUUCAGCAACUUUAACACCUAUUGGCAUCCUUUUGGAUGCUUUUCCCGGUGGGUUGAAUGGUAGCGUUAAAUUAAAUGAAAUAUUACACAAAUAAAUGCCAUGCAGAGCUCGAAACUCAUCAAUCAAAGAUUUCCGAACAUCGAAAUUUAUUUUCGGAACAAUUUUUACGGAUCUCGAAACCCGUCUCGAAGUGUCAAGGGUAAUUUAAUACUAUGAAAUUUAAUACUAUCUUCACCUAUGAAGAAUGUGGGCGAAACGACUGGCUGGCUAUGAUUGGAUGGGUAGAACAAACAUAUUUUCCUGUCAAGGUGCAGUGCCUAUAAAAGAGCUCAAUACCUUCUCAAGUGGAGCAGAUAAACUGGCUGUGUGGAUCACUUGAAGGGUGAGAAUUCAUUCUUUUUCCUCUAGUUGAAUGUACAUAAUUAUUUUAUUUUGAUAUUCUUAGCUUACUUUGAUUAUCGGUUGAAGAUUCUAAUACCGCUGGAUGUCAACAUCAUUAUAAUGCUGAUAAAGGCAUAAUUGUAUGAAAAUAUCUGAAGUACUUUUAGUGCCCCAAACAUUGCCAUGACCCAUCGUUAUGUUGCCCGCAAAUGGGGCUUUCAACAAGUAUUGCUAAAGCUGCACAUGAAAAUAUGUUUCCCGGUUCAAUUCUGUGGUGUAGAAUCCAAAUUUCGUGAUAUUUUUUGUGUGUGAGACGUUCAGUUGAUUUCAUGCGUCUUUGCCUCUGAGUGGGGCACUGCUGGUAGCGUACUAACUGGUUCAAAUAUUGUAUACCUGUUCAAGAGGGAAUGAGAGUUAGGAUUAUAAGUGUUCAUAGAUUAGACGACUGCAUCAGAAACACGAGCACGUGAAUGAUUGCCCUAUUUCGAUCCACAACUGGGUAUAUCUAUUUAUCGAUCUAUAUAUAUUUCCUAGCGUAGAGUUUUCGAUCUAUGUUCUGAAGUUCAAACUCUGAAGAAUCUCAGACGAAAAGCUCUAGUAUACUCAAAUGUUUGCUUUUCUCAAAGCCAUUUUCAAGCUUUGUAUCACCAAAAGAUUGUUAUAAUCUAAUUUUCCGUUACAAUAAUUUUGUGAAGCUCGUCUUCUUCGCAAGGAGCAUAAUUAUUGUUUAACUUGGAUCCACUAUCAUUUUUGUCUUGAAAAGAGUGCCAAACUGUUUUUAAAAACCCCCAAAACAAAGCUGCCUUUUCGAAACAGAGGUUCCAGAGCGACACCGUAUCGGAUUCAUGCGUUCACAACUUCACACCACUAAUCUAGAAAAAGUGAUCCGAUACGAUUCCAUUCCACAUUCACAGCGGAAUGGUUUGACUCCGCAAAUACGAUACGGAGCGUAUCGGAUUCAAGCGUCAUCGUGUGAACACAAAAUAGAACAGAAGGCCUAUCCGAUAUGAAAAGCGAUCUGAUACGAAAUGAAUCCGGUAUCGUGUGAACAGGGCCUUGAUCUGGUUUUCCGAUUGAAACAGCUUGAGGUUCUCCAGCUGUGAUCCAGCUGUGUCUGUCUGCAUGUAAACAGAGCAAAUAAGGAAAUUGGUGCGGCAUUUCCAGUGUAUAAGUAAGUUUCCACGUGAUAGCAGAGACUAUACAGCAUUCAGUGUUUGCGAUAAGAAGAACGUUUCUCGUCUUAAAAGGAACGAUGUUGCUACGAGUAAUUCUUUUCGUCGUGAUCUUUUUCACAUGCUAUGCACAUCGACAGGAAAACAAUUAUGCAGCUGAACUAGAGAGUAUACAGGAGAUGGUACCGGAAGAUGCAAGAGAAGAAUUGCUUAUGAAUCGCCUGGACGAUGAUUUAGUCGAAAGGAACAUGAUUGAAGAUAGUGACGGAGAGCUGGACGAAGAAGAAGCAGACGAUGAUGAAAUAGAAGACGACAGGGAUCCCGUGAUUGAGGGUGGUUUCAAAGAAACAACUGGUGGUGCUGAGGACACUAAAGGAAAACGGCCUAGCACAAAACAAAAAGACGGAAAUGGUCAAAGGACAAAAAAGGAGAGAAAGAAGAAGGGUCGUUCCAAAGGAACAACUGGUGGUGCUGAGUACCAGGGCCAUGAAUUCCAUUGGAUACAGGGGGGACUAGGA